ACUUUUCAUAGCAUUAUGCAUGUAGUUGCUGGUUUAUACUUAAGAAUUGUGAUCUGUUAUAGAUAUAUUGAGGUCUUAGGAGCACUUGUAGAUAAGACAUUAAACACAUCUCUUGGGUCUGGUUUUUAUGUAAGGCAGGAAUUAGUCUAUCUUGACUCAUAUCAAAGUCCCUUGCUAGGUUGGUGUUAUUAUGAUUACUUAUCACUAAUG
rnacentral:lncRNA from 1 species